rnacentral:rRNA from 1 species
AGAGUUUGAUCAUGGCUCAGGAUGAACGCUAGCGGCAGGCCUAAUACAUGCAAGUCAAGGGGCUCGCAAGAGCACCGGCGGACGGGUGCGUAACGCGUACACAACGUACCUCAGAGCGGGGGAUAGCAUUGGGAAACUGGUGGUAAAACCCCAUGGUGUUGCUGAAUGGCAUCAUUUAGCAACUAAAGUUUACACUUUGAGAUCGGUGUGCGUCUGAUUAGCUAGUUGGCGGGGUAACGGCCCACCAAGGCGACGAUCAGUAGGGGGUGUGAGAGCAUGACCCCCCACAUGGGUACUGAGACACGGACCCAACUCCUACGGGAGGCAGCAGUAAGGAAUAUUGGACAAUGGGCGCAAGCCUGAUCCAGCCAUGCCGCGUGAAGGAUGAAGGCGCUCAGCGUUGUAAACUUCUUUUGGAUGGGGACAAUAAUCUCGAUUUAUCGGGACUUGAGGGUACCAUCAGAAUAAGCACCGGCUAACUCCGUG